UACGUAGGGUCCGAGCGUUGUCCGGAAUUACUGUGCGUAAAGAGCUCGUAGGUGGUUUGUCGCGUUGUUCGUGAAAACUCACAGCUCAACUGUGGGCGUGCGGGCGAUACGGGCAGACUAGAGUACUGCAGGGGAGACUGGAAUUCCUGGUGUAGCGGUGGAAUGCGCAGAUAUCAGGAGGAACACCGGUGGCGAAGGCGGGUCUCUGGGCAGUAACUGACGCUGAGGAGCGAAAGCGUGGGGAGCGAACAGG
rnacentral:rRNA from 1 species